rnacentral:misc_RNA from 1 species
AAAAGUCGUAACAAGGUUUCCGUAGGUGAACCUGCGGAAGGAUCAUUAACAUAUAGGAUACCAAAGAAAACAACCACCUUGUGUGCAUUUAUUAAAAAAAUAAUUUUCUCGAAGGAAAAAUCGUUUUCUUUCUUGAAAAUAUAUAAUCAACUCUUCUUUUUUUGAACCUGAACAAAAAUUUUUGAUAUAACAAAAAUUAAACAACUUUCAACAACGGAUCUCUUGGCUCUC